rnacentral:lncRNA from 1 species
GGUUAGUGGCCGGUGUGGCCGUGGCUGUGUGUGCGCGUGAGUCUCUAUAUAAGAGAUGUAAAGCUUGUUGUUUGAGUUGAGGCCGAAAGGGCUGAGGGAAAAAAGAUGUAGCAUAUGUGUGUCUCACCGGGAGAACAAAGCAAAGCUGGUUCCUCCACGGUGAGGUGUGUGUGUGUGAGUGUUCUUGUGGGAAGCCACCGAGGAGAAGAGUAGCUUGAGAGAGAUGGAGAGUUGUGUGAGGCAGCUCAAGGUAGAAGAAGAAGCGGCGCUGCGAGAGGCGGCGCCAACAAUUGGCAUCAGAGCCUUGUUGAUCCGUGGCGGCGACGACGGUGCCGGCGGCUAUGGUGGCCGGCGUGGCACUGGGCGCGAGGUGAUGGCUGGCAGCGGCGCGAUGCCGCGGGCGGCCGGUUGCGGUGCGAUGCCGCGAGAUGAAGGUGGUGCGAUGAUCGGCGUCGCGAGGACGUCAUCCACGACAAGAUGGUCCGUGGUGACCGGCGCUGCGACGGCGUCGGUUGUGGCGCGACGGACUUCAUGCGAGAUGGAGGCCGACGGCGCAAGAAGGAGGAUGGUGGCCAUGCGGUGCCGCUAUGUGAAGAUGGCGGUGCGAAGCUGCCACAAGAAGAGUCGGCGUGAUGCCGACGACGGUGGUGUGAUCCCAUCGUCAUCAUGGAAAGUUGGUGUGAAGCCAACAAAAGUUACGGUGCGAUGCCGCUUGGCGAAGACGGCGUGGUGAUCGGCGCUGCGACAGCGUCGUCCACGUCAAGAGGUGGCCGCUGCGUGCGGCAAGAGUACAUGGUGAUGGACGCGGGCGCUGCGAUGGCGUCGGUCCAGGCAAGGUGUGCAGCGCCGCGAUUGUGUCGUCAAGUGGCAGCGGGUGAACCGCGUGAAGAUUGGAGAAUCAAGAUUAGGAGGGAAAAUGUUAGGUUUAAUCUUGAUUCAUGUAUCUGCAUAUUUAGUUUGCUUUUGUUAUGCAUGUUGCAUAGGUUAGAGAGUAGCUAGUCCGGUGAAGUUUCAGCGGAGGCAUGCGGAGACUGCGAGAUGCCGGGCUGCCGAUGACGGCGUGAAGGCGCGGUGCCGUGUGAUACGGCGCAAGGCUUGAUGCCGGGAUGGUAUAGCCGUGGGAAGCGGCGAGACGCGUGCAGGAUGAAGCCAAACCGGCUGGCUGGAUAGAUCAAGUUGGAGCCAGGAGAAUUGGUCAGGUUGCAUGCAGUCGGUUAGUUGAACGGCUUGGCCGUGUAGUCUGGACGUGGGCGUGCAUGUAGUGCAUGUAGCUAGGGAUUAGUUAGUGGUGCGUGCGUGGGUUAGUGGCCGGUGUGGCCGUGGCUGUGUGUGCGCGUGAGUCUCUAUAUAAGAGAUGUAAAGCUUGUUGUUUGAGUUGAGGCCGAAAGGGCUGAGGGAAAAAAGAUGUAGCAUAUGUGUGUCUCACCGGGAGAACAAAGCAAAGCUGGUUCCUGCACCGUGAGGUGUGUGUGUGUGAGUGUUCUUGUGGGAAGCCACCGAGGAGAAGAGUAGCUUGAGAG